GACGAACGCUGGCGGCGUGCCUAAUACAUGCAAGUCGAACGCACUCUCGUUUAGAUUGAAGGAGCUUGCUCCUGAUUGAUAAACAUUUGAGUGAGUGGCGGACGGGUGAGUAACACGUGGGUAACCUGCCCUAAAGUGGGGGAUAACAUUUGGAAACAGAUGCUAAUACCGCAUAAAACCUAACACCGCAUGGUGUAGGGUUGAAAGAUGGUUUCGGCUAUCACUUUAGGAUGGACCCGCGGUGCAUUAGUUAGUUGGUGAGGUAAAGGCUCACCAAGACCGUGAUGCAUAGCCGACCUGAGAGGGUAAUCGGCCACACUGGGACUGAGACACGGCCCAGACUCUACGGGAGGCAGCAGUAGGGAAUCUUUCCACAAUGGACGAAAGUCUGAUGGAACAACGCCGCGUGAGUGAAGAAGGUUUUCGG
rnacentral:rRNA from 1 species